CAGAGGCACAGUGACUCUGCCAUGUGCAUACUGCCAACACAAAGCAGGGGGCCAUUGCCACCACAGCAAACCACUUUUGGGAAUUCCCACUUCAAGAAGAGAUGGACAACCAGUUUUAAGCUACAGCUGGGCAAGGUAAAGCAUCGAGAUGCAAAUGCCUUCAGGCUUCUUUUGUGUGUCUCAGUUAAGGUCAUACUUUACUGGCCCAGCUAGGCAAGGUUUGUAAACACGGGGUGUGGUUUGUAAAGUGAGUCUGCUCUACCUGUCAACAGCUUCAUGCUCCUACUCCCUCUCCUAUUGCAGAUCCUGCUCCUUGUUUGACUCUUGCUGAUGCAGUCUAGGACAAUGACCUAGCAGAAAAUUGUUCACUUUUCCACCACCCCACCCCCCUCCCCCCCAGAUUAAUUUUCUGUCAGACUGACAUACUCUGAUAGCUUGCCAAAGUAAGAUGAGCAUCAGUGCUGGCACAAGAAGGGAUACAGGGUUGCUCAAGAGAGAGGAAUGAGUAAUACAGAAGCAUUACAUUAAUUCAGUUGGUUGGUUAUAAAUCCACACCUUUCCAGCUGCCUAUUUGCCUGGCAUAGAUCAACCACAACUACCAUCAAAUGAGGAGACUUUUCUUCCUCCUUUUUCAUUACUAGCAAGAUUUGUUUGCAGGAUUGCUGUCUUCAUUUUUUCAGAUCACUUCAAAGACAAGAAGCAGUAAUGGCAGCAGUGGAAAAACAGUAGAGAACAGGGGAAAGCAAGAGACACGGCAAGGAAUGGGAUAGGAAAGGUCAUCUCUGCUGCAGCAGCACAUUAGAUCAGUAGCACAAGGUAGUUGUGAAAUCAUCUGCUUGGGUACCCCCAGCAGCUGCAGGUGCUGCCUCUAAGCCAGCCAGGGCACAGCUGGGAGAAGGGGGGAUGCUGUCCUCUUCUUCCUCAGCUGUGACCCUAGGCUCCUAUGAGUAUUAUCCCCUAUGUUCCUCUGCCUGACUCUCCCCAUUAGCUCAUUGACUGCAGCUGCUGGGCUAGUUUGGCUCUGGGAACACCUCCACAGAGGCUGCUGGGAG
rnacentral:lncRNA from 1 species